AUUGAACGCUGGCGGCAGGCCUAACACAUGCAAGUCGAACGAGUGGCGGACGGGUGAGUGGUGUCUGGGAAACUGGCUGAUGGAGGGGGCUAACGACGGGAACAGGUAGCUACUACCGCAUACCAUGGGAUGGGCCCCACUGGGAUUAGCGAGUAGGGGGGGUAAAGGCUCACCUAGGCGACGAUCCCUAGCUGGUCUGAGAGGAUGACCGGCCACACUGGAACUGAGACACGGUCCAGACUCCUACGUGAGGCAGCAGUGGGGAAUAUUGCACAAUGGGCGAAAGCCUGAUGCAGCCAUGCCGCGUGUAUGAAGAAGGCUUUCGGGUUGUAAAGUUCUUUCAGCAGGGAGGCGUUACCUACAGAAGAAGCACCGGCUAACUCCGUGCCAGCAGCCGCGGUAAUAC
rnacentral:rRNA from 1 species